rnacentral:misc_RNA from 1 species
AACUUUUGACAACGGAUCUCUUGGCUCUAGCAUCGAUGAAGAACGCAGCGAAAUGCGAUAAGUAAUGCGAAUUGCAGAAUUCAGUGAAUCAUCGAGUCUUUGAACGCACAUUGCGCCCGCCAGCAUCCUGGCGGGCAUGCCUGUUCGAGCGUCAUUACCACCCUCAGGCCCUGCCUGGUGUUGGGGGCCUGCGCCUGCAGCCCCCGAAAGACAGCGGCGGUCCCGGCCCCGGCCCCGAGCGUAGUACCAUACGUCGCUCCGGGCGCCGGGCGGGCCCCAGCCGGAAGCCAUUAUUCUUCAGGUUGACCUCGGAUCAGGUAGGAAUACCCGCUGAACUUAAGCAUAUCAAUAAGCGGAGGCU